CUCGAUAGAAGGCGGAAAAAGCCGGAAAAAUUACAAGCGUUAGCUGCGCUACUAAGGUUAAUAAACCCCAACAGCUAGUUGACAUCGUUUAGGGCGUGGACUACCAGGGUAUCUAAUCCUGUUUGCUCCCCACGCUUUCGUGCAUGAGCGUCAGUAUCAUCCCAGGGGGCUGCCUUCGCCAUCGGUAUUCCUCCACAUCUCUACGCAUUUCACUGCUACACGUGGAAUUCUACCCCCCUCUGACGUACUCUAGCCCGGCAGUUAAAAGUGCAGUUCCAAGGUUAAGCCCUGGGAUUUCACACCUUUCUUUCCGAACCGCCUGCGCACGCUUUACGCCCAGUAAUUCCGAUUAACGCUUGCACCCUACGUAUUACCGCGGCUGCUGGCACGUAGUUAGCCGGUGCUUAUUCUGCAGGUACCGUCAGUCGCCCAGGGUAUUCGCCCAGGCUGUUUCUUCCCUGCCAAAAGUGCUUUACAACCCGAAGGCCUUCAUCGCACACGCGGGAUGGCUGGAUCAGGGUUGCCCCCAUUGUCCAAAAUUCCCAACUGCUCUCCCCCCGUAAGGA
rnacentral:rRNA from 1 species